CCUACGGGUGGCUGCAGUGGGGAAUAUUGGACAAUGGGGGCAACCCUGAUCCAGCCAUGCCGCGUGUGUGAAGAAGGCCCUCGGGUUGUAAAGCACUUUCAGUGAGGAAGAACGCCUGGUGGUUAAUACCCAUCAGGAAAGACAUCACUCACAGAAGAAGCACCGGCUAACUCCGUGCCAGCAGCCGCGGUAAUACGGAGGGUGCGAGCGUUAAUCGGAAUUACUGGGCGUAAAGCGCGCGUAGGUGGCUUGAUAAGCCGGUUGUGAAAGCCCCGGGCUCAACCUGGGAACGGCAUCCGGAACUGUCAAGCUAGAGUGCAGGAGAGGAAGGUAGAAUUCCCGGUGUAGCGGUGAAAUGCGUAGAGAUCGGGAGGAAUACCAGUGGCGAAGGCGGCCUUCUGGACUGACACUGACACUGUGGUGCGAAAGCGUGGGUAGCAAACAGGAUUAGAUACCCCAGUAGUC
rnacentral:rRNA from 1 species